AGUGAACGCUGGCGGUAGGCCUAGCACAUGCAAGUCGAACGGCGGCACAGUAAGAGCUUGCUCUUACGGGUGGCGAGUGGCGGACGGGUGAGGAAUACAUCGGAAUCUACUUUUUCGUGGGGGAUAACGUAGGGAAACUUACGCUAAUACCGCAUACGACCUACGGGUGAAAGCAGGGGAUCUUCGGACCUUGCGCGAUUGAAUGAGCCGAUGUCGGAUUAGCUAGUUGGCGGGGUAAAGGCCCACCAAGGCGACGAUCCGUAGCUGGUCUGAGAGGAUGAUCAGCCACACUGGAACUGAGACACGGUCCAGACUCCUACGGGAGGCAGCAGUGGGGAAUAUUGGACAAUGGGCGCAAGCCUGAUCCAGCCAUACCGCGUGGGUGAAGAAGGCCUUCGGGUUGUAAAGCCCUUUUGUUGGGAAAGAAAAGCAGCAGGUUAAUACCCCGCUGUUCUGACGGUACCCAAAGAAUAAGCACCGGCUAACUUCGUG
rnacentral:rRNA from 1 species